rnacentral:rRNA from 1 species
GACGAACGCUGGCGGCGUGCUUAACACAUGCAAGUCGAACGGAAAGGCCCUGCUUUUGUGGGGUGCUCGAGUGGCGAACGGGUGAGUAACACGUGAGUAACCUGCCCUUGACUUUGGGAUAACUUCAGGAAACUGGGGCUAAUACCGGAUAGGAGCUCCUGCUGCAUGGUGGGGGUUGGAAAGUUUCGGCGGUUGGGAUGGACUCGCGGCUUAUCAGCUUGUUGGUGGGGUAGUGGCUUACCAAGGCUCUGACGGGUAGCCGGCCUGAGAGGGUGACCGGCCACAUUGGGACUGAGAUACGGCCCAGACUCCUACGGGAGGCAGCAGUGGGGAAUAUUGCACAAUGGGCGGAAGCCUGAUGCAGCAACGCCGCGUGCGGGAUGACGGCCUUCGGGUUGUAAACCGCUUUCGCCUGUGACGAAGCGUGAGUGACGGUAAUGGGUAAAGAAGCACCGGCUAACUACGUG